CUGAAAGUAACUCUGUAUGGUGUCCUUUAGUGACCAAUUCUGUGGAAGCUUGAGCUUGUAUGGUAAACUUCAGCCCAUCUGGUCCCUGCUUUUCUUCCCCUAAGUAUUUUUUUUUCUUGUUUGUUUGUUUUUUAAAUUAAGUUGUUGUCAUUGCUUUAUGUUACCUGUUUUUUUCAAUGCUAGGGAUAAAACCUGUGGUGUCUUUUAAACCCCAAGGUAAACUUUUAUUGUUUGUUUAUUUUGUGUGUAUCUGUGUUUAUGCUUUUGUGCCCUGGUGUACAGAAGGAAGUCAGAGGACAACUUCUGAGAGUUAAAUCUCUCUUUUCACUGUAUGGAUACUGGAGAUUGAACUCAGGCCCCCAAGCUUGGUGACAAGUGCCUUGAGUCAUUUCAUCUGAACUGACCUCAACUUUUCAAAGGGGCCUUUGUCAUGCCAUGUAUAGAGUCAGAAGUGGCGACUGGAGUCCACUGUCCUGUGUGUGCUUCCACAGUUAGGGUUCCAUUUUCAGAGAACAUAGGCAGAUUCUCAGAGAGGCAAGGGACGCCUGGCCCUGGAGGCCGGUGCACGUCAUACUCUCCCUUCAUUUUCCUGGGGUAGUGUAGAGGAGUGACAGUCUGUGGUUUGCUUGCAUGCUGCAGGGAAUGGGUGGACAUUGAUGCUCUCCAUGCAAACAGCGGCCUCUCUAAGGAAGGGGAAAGAAUUUACUGAAGACUUGUAACCAGUGUUGUAGUUUGAGUGCCUAAGGGGCCAUAAAAUCUAGACAGAUAGGACAUUUUUCCUCAAUUCUUUUCUGUCCUGUCUUUUCUGGGGAGUGAGAGGCAGCUGCUCUGAAACGGUAACUGUUUUGUUGUUAUAAAAGUAUUCUCAGCACUCAAACCUCUCCCCAAAUGAAAAGGCACAAUAAAAGAUGAUGAUUUCUUUAAUUAUAGCCUUUUUUCCCCCUGCCAACUGGUGCUAGGAAUGAAAUUUAGGGCCUCUAGCACGGCUGGCACUCACUGCACUACAAAGCCACACCUCCAGCCCAAGAAGAUGAUGUCUGGACACUCAGUUCCCACCCACUGCACUGUUUACACAGCCGUUCCCCUCUUCACAUUCUUUCUUUGAACUAGUCUUCCUGACCCUCCAGCCUUCCCUCCUCAGGUUAGAUCUGUGCUUCAUCUUGAAAGUCCUUGGCCACAGAGUAUGAGCCCAGCUCUUCUCUCCAAGCUGAAACUUCUACAGAUUUGAACCUGUUUCAAAGAAGUCAUUCUGAGUUCUGUUAAAUGCCAUGAAAAUAUUUA
rnacentral:lncRNA from 1 species